AUCAGUGCGAACGGCUCAAGUCCUUCCCAAAGGAUGGCCUGCCGCCCUCACUCCUUGAACUUCAUAUCCAAAGAUGUCCUCUGCUGAAAGAACGCUGCAAGAAAUUUGUAGGACAAGAGUGGUCCAAAAUAGCCCUCAUCCCUUGUGUUCAGCUUGAUGGCAGGUUCAUCUAUGACCCAGAAAAUGAGAAUUGAAUUUUGUUAAAGACUCCAUAAGAUAAGAAAGAAUAGUAGAAGCAGACACUACACUUUUCCAGGCAGAAAGCUAGCUGAACUCAGUAAGAUCCAGAAAAAGUAGAAUAUGGCAGAAUCCAGGGUCAGCUGCAUUCUCUUUAUCUGCCAAACAUAACCACUACAGCCAUGGCGUUACCCUUAAGAGUUCUUGGAGAUUCUCCUGGAGUGGACUCUACCAUCACUCAAUCUCAUUGUAU